UCAGAAUCUUUGCCCUAACAGGAACUUGGCACAAGCGUAAUGGCCACCGAGGCAAGCUUCAUGAAGAGGAGAGACUCUGUCCAUGGGUCACCCCAAAAACUCCCUCCCUCUACGAUACACCCAGCCGACAUGCAAGAUUUUCAAGUCUUAAUCUGUAAUCUUGACCAAAAAAAUGUAACUUUCAAGAACUAAAGAACUAUAAA